AGGCAGCAGUAGGGAAUAUUGCACAAUGGGCGCAAGCCUGAUGCAGCGACGCCGCGUGAGGGAUGACGGCCUUCGGGUUGUAAACCUCUUUCAAUAGGGACGAAGCGCAAGUGACGGUACCUAUAGAAGAAGCACCGGCCAACUACGUGCCAGCAGCCGCGGUAAUACGUAGGGUGCGAGCGUUGUCCGGAAUUACUGGGCGUAAAGAGCUCGUAGGUGGUUUGUCGCGUUGUUCGUGAAAACUCACAGCUUAACUGUGGGCGUGCGGGCGAUACGGGCAGACUGGAGUACUGCAGGGGAGACUGGAAUUCCUGGUGUAGCGGUGGAAUGCGCAGAUAUCAGGAGGAACACCGGUGGCGAAGGCGGGUCUCUGGGCAGUAACUGACGCUGAGGAGCGAAAGCGUGGGGAGCAAACAGGAUUAGAUACCCCGGUAG
rnacentral:rRNA from 1 species